GAGAGAGGCUCGCAGCACUGAGGACUGCUAAUCUUCACGCCCCCGGUUGGACCCCGGGGCUCACUCG
rnacentral:tRNA from 1 species